CACGGAGUUAGCCGAUCCUUAUUCCUUCGGUACAUUCAGCUACUUACACGUAAGUAGGUUUAUUCCCGAAUAAAAAGCAGUUUACAACCCAGAGGGCCGUCUUCCUGCACGCGGCAUGGCUGGUUCAGAGUUGCCUCCAUUGACCAAUAUUCCUUACUGCUGCCUCCCGUAGGAGUCUGGUCCGUGUCUCAGUACCAGUGUGGGGGGUCAUCCUCUCAGAUCCCCUAGUCAUCGUGGUCUUGGUGGGCCGUUACCCCGCCAACUAACUAAUGACACGCAUGCCCAUCUUUAUCCUAUAAAUAUUUGAUCAUUGUACGAUGCCGUACUGUGAUUUUAUGCGGUGUUAAUCCGAAUUUCUUCGGGCUACUCCCCCAGAUAAAGGUAGGUUGCAUACGCGUUACCGCACCGUGCGGCCGGUCUACGAAGGAAGCAAGCUCUCCUCUACCCUCGACUGCAGUGUAUUACGCC
rnacentral:rRNA from 1 species